UGCAGUCGGACGGGAUUGAGGAGCUUGCUUCUCAUGAGAGUGGCGCACGGGUGCGUAACACGUAUGUAACCUACCUUGUUCAGGGGGAUAGCCUCUCGAAAGAGAGAUUAACACCGCAUAAAAUCAAUUUAUGGCAUCAUAGAAUGAUCAAAUAUUUAUAGGAACAAGAUGGGCAUGCGGAACAUUAGCUAGUUGGUAAGGUAACGGCUUACCAAGGCUACGAUGUUUAGGGGAUCUGAGAGGAUGACCCCCCACACUGGUACUGAGACACGGACCAGACUCCUACGGGAGGUAGCAGUAAGGAAUAUUGGUCAAUGGACGCAAGUCUGAACCAGCCAUGCCGCGUGCAGGAAGACGGCCCUACGGGUUGUAAACUGCUUUUGUACCGGAAUAAACCUUUUCACGUGUGAGAAGCUGAAUGUACGGUAAGAAUAAGGAUCGGCUAACUCCGUGCCAGCAGCCGCGGUAAUACGGAGGAUCCAAGCGUUAUCCGGAUUUAUUGGGUUUAAAGGGUGCGUAGGUGGCCUAUUAAGUCAGGGGUGAAAGACGGUAGCUUAACUAUCGCAGUGCCUUUGAUACUGAUGGGCUUGAAUACACUUGAGGUAGGCGGAAUGUGACAAGUAGCGGUGAAAUGCAUAGAUAUGUCACAGAACACCAAUUGCGAAGGCAGCUUACUAAAGUGUUAUUGACACUGAGGCACGAAAGCGUGGGGAUCAAACAGGAUUAGAUACCCUGGUAGUCCACGCCCUAAACGAUGAAUACUCGAUGUUGGCGAUAUACGGUCAGCGUCUAAGCGAAAGCGUUAAGUAUUCCACCUGGGGAGUACGCCCGCAAGGGUGAAACUCAAAGGAAUUGACGGGGGCCCGCACAAGCG
rnacentral:rRNA from 1 species